UACGGGGGGGGCAAGCGUUGUUCGGAAUUACUGGGCGUAAAGGCUCGUAGGCGGCCAACUAAGUCAUACGUGAAAUCCCUCGGCUUAACCGGGGAACUGCGUGUGAUACUGGAUGGCUUGAGAUUGGGAGAGGGAUGCGGAAUUCCAGGUGUAGCGGUGAAAUGCGUAGAUAUCUGGAGGAACACCGGUGGCGAAGGCGGCAUCCUGGACCAACACUGACGCUGAGGAGCGAAAGCCAGGGGGAGCAAACGGG
rnacentral:rRNA from 1 species